rnacentral:lncRNA from 1 species
AAAUUGUUAGAAAUCAAACCCACUCCAAGCAUAAUCUAGAAGCAUGAGACGUGGAGCAAUUUUGUGCCAUGCAAAGUGCUGAAAUUUUAGCCAUACAAAGUGCUCCAUUAUUGAGAUGUUUUGUGGCUGGAAAUUAAGUGGAUUAAUAGCCACAUUUGUUGUCACUUUAUCAGCCUAUAAAUAGAGGCUUGAACUUGUGUUGUAAAGGAAGAAAAAUGAGAAGAAAAAAGAAAUAAGAGAAGCAACGUGAGUGAGAGUGAGAAGGUUAGCAAACCUUGAGUGAGUUAAAAUCUAGCAGCAGCUAGACUAUCUAGUCAUUGAGAAAAUAUUUGUAAUCUUCGUAUUGUAAUAUAUUGAGUGUGUAAUAAAAAGUAAAUUUUCG